CAGCCGCCACGGGAAUACAGAGGGUGCGAGCGUUAAUCGGAUUUACUGGGCGUAAGGCGUGCGUAGGCGGCUUCUUAAGUCGGAUGUGAAAUCCCUGAGCUUAACUUAGGAAUUGCAUUCGAUACUGGGAAGCUAGAGUAUGGGAGAGGAUGGUAGAAUUCCAGGUGUAGCGGUGAAAUGCGUAGAGAUCUGGAGGAAUACCGAUGGCGAAGGCAGCCAUCUGGCCUAAUACUGACGCUGAGGUACGAAAGCAUGGGGAGCAAACAGGAUUAGAUACCCGAGUAGUCCCUGUCUCUUAUAC
rnacentral:rRNA from 1 species